GACAGUAUAUGAUGACAAACAAUGGGAAUCUCUCUGAAUCUGUUGUUGAUAGAUCUUGUACUGAUACUGUC